CAGUGGGAGCAAGCAGGGACAUUGUUGGCUUUUAUUAAAACACUGUUCCAGGAGGAGUCAGCUGGUUUCAGUUUCCUAAGGAUCACGUGCUUCGGAAUGAAUGAAUUAAACAUAAGUGGGUCACCCAGCGACUCGUCUGUCCUGCCCGCCGCACAUUUCGACAUUGUCCCAUUGAGGAGGGUAGACUUCUGCUGGAACCAGAAGUUUGCCAGCUGUGGACCAUCAGGUUACUGAAAGCUCCGUUUCUACUGAGUGGUUCAGGUCGGUGCUGCAAGGUAUUAUACAUGUGAAAAUGGUCAAGUCUGGCAGGCAGAACCCUUUUGAUUGGCAGGUGGAACCCUUAUAGUAGUGACAAGCACGGCAUUGAGUGCGCACACGGCCUCUCCACUCCACCCAGAGGCAAAACUGAGUAUUCUCACUUUUUUGUGAGAUAAUUUCAUUACGUGUAGACCAAAUCCACUGAUGCUUGUGGUAACUUGAGAUGGUAAUGAAUGAAGCGCUGUGAGUCUUUCAACUUGCAGCGCAGAGGACUGGUGGAGGAAGAAGAGGCUCCACUCCCAGCAGAGACUCGAACCAGCACCAAAAGACACCCAAUCAAUGGAUUUCACCUGAAGUAGACCGUGCCGCCGCUGCAACCUGAUGGAGCAACUGUGGCGCAAACUGCCAGUGUAGGAUGGACUUUUCUUCAGCCAGGACAAGGAAUUAAAGUAUUUACAGAUGUUUUCCAAAAUCAGGAAUUAUGGAUAGGAUUUUGACAGACUGAAGAUAAUCUCACUGAAAUGAACAAGUAAAACUUCACAUUUACUCCGUGUGUGAAUGUUUUUAAUAUUUAAUAAUAGCAUGUUUCUCACACUACUACUGUAUAGUACACUAACUGAAUGCAAGAAGAAAACAAGAUUUAUUUAAAAAAUAAAUUCAGGGGCAGCACAGCAGCUUAGAGGCUAGCACUGUUGUCUCUCAGCAAGGAGGUCAUGGGUUCGAUUCCCACCUGUGGCCUUUUUGUGUGAAGUUUGCAUGUUCUCACCGCGGUUGCGUGGGUUCUCUCCGGGUGCUCCAGCUUCUUCCCACAACCAAAGACACAGGUUAGGUGGAUUGGAAACUUUAAAUUGUCCGUAGGUGUGUGUGCAGGUGUGAAUGUGUCCUGUGCAGGGUGGACCCCACCUCACCCUCAAUGAGUGCUGGGCUAGGUUCCAGCCUCCUGUGACCCUUAAUUGGAGUAAGCGGUGAAUGAGU